rnacentral:rRNA from 1 species
GAGUAACACGUGGUGAUCUGCCCUGCACUUCGGGAUAAGCUUGGGAAACUGGGUCUAAUACCGGAUAGGAGCCAUCUUUAGUGUGGUGGUUGGAAAGUUUUUUCGGUGUAGGAUGAGCUCGCGGCCUAUCAGCUUGUUGGUGGGGUAAUGGCCUACCAAGGCGGCGACGGGUAGCCGGCCUGAGAGGGUGUACGGCCACAUUGGGACUGAGAUACGGCCCAG